GUGGGGAAUCUUGCGCAAUGGGCGAAAGCCUGACGCAGCCAUGCCGCGUGAAUGAUGAAGGUCUUAGGAUUGUAAAAUUCUUUCACCGGGGACGAUAAUGACGGUACCCGGAGAAGAAGCUCCGGCUAACUUCGUGCCAGCAGCCGCGGUAAUACGAAGGGGGCUAGCGUUGCCCGGAAUUACUGGGCGGAAAGGGCGCGAAGGCGGACAGCUUAGUCAGAGGUGAAAGCCCAGGGCUCAACCUCGGAAUUGCCUUUGAUACUGGCUGUCUUGAGUUUGGGAGAGGUGAGUGGAACUCCGAGUGUAGAGGUGAAAUUCGUAGAUAUUCGGAAGAACACCAGUGGCGAAGGCGACUCACUGGCCCGUUACUGACGCUGAGGCGCGAAAGCGUGGGGAGCAAACAGGAUUAGAAACCCGGGUAGUCC
rnacentral:rRNA from 1 species